rnacentral:tRNA from 2 species
GGGUCGUUAGCUCAGCGGUAGAGCAGUUGACUCUUAAUCAAUUGGUCGAAGGUUCGAACCCUUCACGACCCACCA